GACGAACGCUGGCGGCGUGCUUAACACAUGCAAGUCGAACGCGCCUGUCCUCUGGGUUUCUGGGGGGUGGGUGGGUGGCGAACGGGUGAGUAACACGUGAGUAACCUGCCCCCUUCUUCGGGAUAACGGUCUGAAAGGGCUGCUAAUACCGGGUAUUCACUGGUCUCCGCAUGGGGUCUGGUGGAAAGGUUUUUUUCUGGUGGGGGAUGGGCUCGCGGCCUAUCAGCUUGUUGGUGGGGUGAUGGCCCACCAAGGCUUUGACGGGUAGCCGGCCUGAGAGGGUGACCGGUCACAUUGGGACUGAGAUACGGCCCAGACUCCUACGGGAGGCAGCAGUGGGGAAUAUUGCACAAUGGGCGCAAGCCUGAUGCAGCGACGCCGCGUGAGGGAUGGAGGCCUUCGGGUUGUGAACCUCUUUCGCCCGUGGUCAAGCCGCGACGUGGGUCGUGGUGAGGGUAGUGGGUAAAGAAGCGCCGGCUAACUACGUG
rnacentral:rRNA from 1 species